rnacentral:tRNA from 1 species
GGUUCCAAUGGUGCAACGGUCAGCACUCUGGACGUUGAAUCCAGAGAUCCGAGUUCAAAUCUCGGUGGGACCU